CCCCCACCGCCAUUUUGUGAAUGGAAUCCUUCACUAUAUCGGCAGCCUUUAAAUAAAAGAAAAGGAGCGCGAUUCUUACAAAUUGACUUGAUUUAAUUCCCAUUUCAUAUUAAUUGAAUCAGAACAAAUUUUCCAUCGCAAGAAGUCAUCUAUAUUCGCUGGGUUUUUUUUGCCGGUUGUUCAAAUAUGUCGGAAGAGCAGACUCUGGGCGAAGAUGCGAUGAUGCUGAUGAGGAAGAUGGAGGAAGAUGACGGAGAGGCUCUGGGCGAAGAGCAGAUCCCGGGGGUCGGUGGCUCUGAUGAUAAGGGGCAGGGAGAGACGGAGGGCUCAAAGAUAGAUGCCAGUAAAAAUGAGGAAGAUGAGGGGAAAAUGUUCGUCGGAGGGUUAAGUUGGGACACAACCAAGAAAGACCUGAAGGAUUACUUCUCCAAAUAUGGCGAGGUGGUCGAUUGCACUUUAAAACUGGAUCCUUUGACGGGUCGGUCCAGAGGGUUUGGCUUUGUUCUGUUUAAAGAUGCUGAAAGUGUGGAAAAGGUGAUCGUCCAAAAGGAGCACAAACUUAACGGAAAAGUAAUUGACCCUAAGAAAGCAAAAGCCAUGAAGUCCAAAGAGCCUGUGAGGAAGGUAUUUGUUGGAGGCCUUUCCCCAGAUACUCCAGAAGAGAAGAUCAGAGAGUACUUUGAUGCUUUUGGAGAGGUGGAAUCCAUUGAACUGCCAAUGGAGAAUAAGACAAAUAAAAGACGAGGGUUCUGUUUCAUUACGUUUAAAGAGGAGGAACCAGUGAAGAAAAUUAUGGAGAAGAAGUACCAUAACAUCGGUCUGAGCAAGUGUGAGAUCAAGGUGGCCAUGUCAAAGGAGCAGUACCAACUACAGCAGCAGUGGGGCGGGAGAGGAGGAUACUCCUUCAGAUCCAGAGGGAGAGGAGGUCCCAAUCAGAAUUGGAACCAGGGAUACGGAAAUUACUGGAAUCAAGGUUAUGGAAAUUACGGAAACUAUGGCUACAACAAUCAAGGCUAUGGUGGAUACGGGGGCUAUGAUUACUCGGGUUACAACAACUACUACGGAUAUGGUGACUACAGCAAUCAACAGAGCGGUUACGGCAAAUCCCCACGCCGUGGUGGCCAUCAAAACAGUUACAAGCCUUACUAACGUUUAAACGCUACCAGAAACAUGCAGCGGGGACUUCCUUGCAGGCCGUGAGCUGACUUCCCGAUUGUCUCACGCCCGCUCAAUGCGGACAGGGUACGAGAGGCGUACGCUCUCGAAUGCUCCCAUUUGAUGGAAUGACGGAGAAAGUCAAGCUAAGAAAAGAAACCAAGAGGGUGAGACAGGUUAAAUAUGGAGUUGAUCAAGACUUUACUACACAUUUUACCACAUUUCCAGUUAUCAGCUGUAGGCUGUGUCUGGUCGCCAGUGAAUUCACCAUUUUAUGCAAAACCAGAAAUGUCAUUGAAGUGUGCACCCUAAAGAAUAAUUCAAGUGUUGGAUGAUGAACUUUUCCUGAAAUAAUUUUUGUGUGUGUUUUGAAUUUGUUUGCCUUUUGGUUUUCUAGAGCUUGUGUAGUUGUGUAAUUCACUAAUGAGUAGCUCUCAUACAUUUCUGCGUUGAGUAAAAUGAUUAGUAGAAACCCCAAAUCAUUUAGAAUUCAUUUGUAUACAGAGUUAUUAAUUUAUAGCUUACAGUGCACACAGAGUGUAGGCCAUUUCAUAUUAAUUUCAUAUUGCAGUAUUUUGCUACACUCGUGUAAACCAUUGAAAAAUACAAUGGAUGCAUUAAAGUGUAUGGACUUCAAGUCUGUCAUUUCUUCAUUGAUUAAAGGAAUAGUGAAC